GGCCGACACCCUGUCUCCUGGCGACUGACGGCCUGGGCCCCGCCCCUGCAAAGGUGCCGACGGAAGGGGCUGGAGAACAGAGAGAUCAGGUGGCCUCCUGACUCAGGAAGGAGACAAAGGAGAGGAGGGGCUGGAGACUUUCAGUUUGGAGCUGGCUGGGGAAAUGGAGGGAGGCC